rnacentral:lncRNA from 1 species
UGAGGGGCACCUGGUCCUCGGUUGGGGCUGCAGGUGUGCCUGACAUUUGCAAAAGAUAUUCCAGUCUUUCGAUGUUCAGAAUUGAAAAUGUGGAGAUAGAAAAGCUCAAACAGACUCCUAAAAGGAGGGUUUCUUUCCUGAAGACUCCAAGAAAAUGAGUGUGCAGAUGAGUUAGCUUGACAACCUCAACUCUGGGGAGCAGGCAGGCGGUCUGAGGAAGAUAAGGGCCCACGCCCCACUCACCUGGCACCUGUUCGGUGGUCCCGGGGCAUCAUGGUCUGCAGCUCUGGGCCCCCAGCCCCACUGUGAAGUCAGUCCUGCAUGCUGGCCGAGGCCCGGCCACCUCCCGAUGCCUCCAGAGUCAGUGGGAAGGAGUCAGCCCUUCCCAGACUUCCCCGCCACCUCCAGCAGGAGCAGCUCAGUUUGUGGCUCUGGGAGCUCCGCUUUUGCAAACCCAAAAAGGCUGUGCAUUUGGAAGCCAAACGCUCAGCAUGCGGCUGCCGAGUCUGGUUUUGUGGACAAAGCAAACUGUGGAAUGGCUUCUCGGUGUCUGUAUAAAGGGACAAACGGUUGCAUUCACCCUUUGUACUAUAACACCGCUUCUGCAUUCGCCAUAUCCGUUUUUUAACCUUUUUGUCUCCGGGGAACUUCUCAUUCGAUUAUUAUGUCUUCUGAUGAUUUGCCAUGUUAUUUUAAAGGUGAUUUUAUUUUCUUAUGGACAGGAAAAAAGAAAAUGAGGAGGAGUUGGUUUUACUCUUAGAGAUAAGACUUCAGCAGGGGCUCAGAAACCCCAAACUCUAGUUAAAUUGCUUCUCGGAGGAAAAUCUUAAUCUAGACAGAUUCAGAUUCCCAGGCUCUCCUGGAAGCCCUGCACUUCAGGGCACAGGGGCCCUGGGACGUGGUUGGCAGCCAGGCUGCGAGAGAGCUAAAAAGGAACAAGAACAUCAGCUCGGAUGUUUGUCUCUCAGCCCUGACACCUGCCACUCUCCUUCCCGGGGCACUUGGCCCUAUCAGAGGGACAUGAAAUGCUGUCCGAAUGGUGGCAGAAAUGCAGCGACAUUGCAUGCAGCAGAGUCUUUGCUUCGAAAGAUGGGGCGCCAUGUUUCAGAGAACAUUUAUCUUAGUCCCACGUUCAGGUGAGAAGACCUCAAAGGUACCCUCUGUCCAGAAUAAACAUUGGAACAAUCUCUCAAUUGGCUUUUGUCACUACACAUAAUGUAAUCUCCCUUCUUUCAGCUCCCCCAACAGUGAGCAUGCUUCCCAAAAAAUUACAACAUCAAAACCAGGAAUGUCCCCGCAUCUACUAUUACCAGGCUUGCAAUUGGUUCAAUUUUCCCAUAAAAACAUGUUUGUCCAAAAGAAGGGAAACUGUGAAUUUAUUCCAUGCAUGUAAUAAACUCUGCAAGAAGUUUAACCCACAUAGGUUUGCGGCACUGCAAAAUUGUUCAUGGGUCUAUGUAGCAAAUGAUUCUCUGCCUUGACAAUCAUGUAUACAUAUCAAGAUUUCUAUCAUAAUGAUAAUGAGAUUGAUGACUUCCUGUUUUCCUCCAAUAAAGACAAUUAAUCACCUUC